CCCAGCGGCGAUAGCACGUUGAAAUCCGUUGAAUGCACCAGUUCUCGAUGAAUAACUGAAGUUAAGCAACGUUGCGUCUGGUUAGUACCUGGAUGGGUGACCAUCUGAGGAAUCACGUGCUGCUGUCU
rnacentral:rRNA from 1 species